rnacentral:lncRNA from 1 species
GUUUAGCACUGUGCUCGGUAGGGAAACGGAAAGAUCAGUGGGGUUUGAAGAAGGAAGAAGCCUGGGAAAAUAAAGGGAUAAAGUGGUAACUGGUCUGGCAGAACAGAAAAGUAGGUGAUCAGUGGACUUGCCUGUUCAUGUUCUGCACAAAGGGCUCAUGUGUCUGGGUACAACAUCUGGAAAAACCCAGGUGAAAGCAACCCCUGGGAAGAGAUCAGGGCUCAGAAGCCCGUGUGCCCAUGUGCAAGUGAGGGUGUGAAAGUGGGAGCGUGCAGAGCCUUGAAGCAGCUGUACUUGCUGCAAGUAUGUGACAUGGACUGGGAGCAAGGCAGGUUCCCCUUUCACAAGAUAAAUGAAAGUAUUAUGAAUUCAGGAACAUUCAGAAGAUGAGCAAGAGACUAUGUUUAAGAAAUUAAAGCAUCUGAUGGCUGAAAUUCAUUAGCAGAAGGCAGAAGAGAUUUUUAUUCUGUUCAGUGAAACUGCUUGAUUCAGAAAAUCAGCUGUGCCAUGCUUGGCCUCCGUUUUGUUAAGAAUUUAUGGAGAAAUAUCUGUUAACAAGACAACAUUUCUGUUGCACCGAAUCACUGUUGCCCAAAGGUAGAACAGCUCAGUUCCUACAGUAAAGCAACCCAGGAAUUUCAGUAAAUUGAAUUGAUUAAUUCCAUUCCCAUUACUUUGGCCAUUGCAGACAGUUGAUGUAGUCAAAGCUCCUGGAAUUUAAUGUUAGCUUUUAGACUGAUCUUCAGGAAUGAGUUUCUUCGUCUUCCAAUAUGACUCUCAUCAAAAUAAUCUUCCUUUUAGGCAUUUUUCUAUUCUAUGAAGCUUCAGAUGUUCAAAGCAAACUGAGAUGAGUCUAUAAAUGAAGCCUUUCAUUUUGUUUUGCUUAUAGCCUAUUUAAACAACAGUCUUAGAAACAAAGGUAUCUAUGUGAAAGUUUUCUGUGCUUCUGCUCCUUUAGUUAAAGCUCAUAAAACUCCUAGUUACCUUCUCUGAGACAGACAAAUAGGUAAUAAAAAACCAGGAGA